GUGUUCGCUUCAGCAACACAUAUACUAAAAUUGAAACUGCAGAGAUUAGCAUGGCCCCUGCACAAGGAUGACAUGCAAAUUUGUGAAGUGUCCCACAGAAAG
ensembl:snRNA U6 U6 spliceosomal RNA